rnacentral:rRNA from 1 species
AGCGAACAUUGGCGGUAGGCUUAACAUAUGCAAGUCGAGCGAGGCGUAAUAGUCGAGCGGCGAACGGGUGCGUAAUACAUGGAAAUCUACCCUGAAGUAUGGGAUAACGUCCAGAAAUGGACGCUAAUACCGUAUAAUCCAUAUUGGGAAAGCGUUGCAGCGCUUUAGGAUAAGUCCAUGGCUGAUUAGCUAGUUGGUGAGGUAAUGGCUCACCAAGGCGACGAUCAGUAGCUGGUCUGAGAGGAUGACCAGACACACUGGAACUGAGACACGGUCCGGACUCCUACGUGAGGCAGCAGUGGGGAGUCUUGCGCAAUCGGGGCAACCCUGACGCAGCCAUACCGCGUGAGUGAUGAAGGUCUGCGGAUUGUAAAGCUCUUUCGGCAGGGACGACGAUGACGGUACCUGCAAAAGAAGUCACGGCUAACUUCGUGCCAGCAGCCGCGGUAA